GUGUCAGCAGCCGCGGUAAUACGGAGGGUGCGAGCGUUAUCCGGAUUUACUGGGUUUAAAGGGUGUGUAGGCGGGCUGUUAAGUCAGUGGUGAAAUCCCGGGGCUCAACCCCGGAACUGCCAAUGAUACUAUCAGUCUUGAAUACUGUGGAGGUGAGCGGAAUGUGUCAUGUAGCGGUGAAAUGCAUAGAGAUGACACAGAACACCGAUUGCGAAGGCAGCUCACUACGCAGUUAUUGACGCUGAGGCACGAAGGCGUGGGGAUCAAACAGGAUUAGAAACCCCAGUAGUCC
rnacentral:rRNA from 1 species